CCUACGGGCGGCAGCAGUGAGGAAUAUUGGUCAAUGGACGAGAGUCUGAACCAGCCAAGUAGCGUGAAGGAUGACUGCCCUAUGGGUUGUAAACUUCUUUUAUAAAGGAAUAAAACGAGGCACGUGUGCCUUUUUGCAUGUACUUUAUGAAUAAGGAUCGGCUAACUCCGUGCCAGCAGCCGCGGUAAUACGGAGGAUCCGAGCGUUAUCCGGAUUUAGUGGGUUUAACGGGAGCGUAGAUGGGUUGUUAAGUCAGUUGUGAAAGUUUGCGGCUCAACCGUAAAAUUGCAAUUGAUACUGGCAGUCUUGAGUACAGUUGAGGUAGGCGGAAUUCGUGGUGUAGCGGUGAAAUGCUUAGAGAUCACGAAGAACCCCGAUUGCGAAGGCAGCUUACUAAACUGUGACUGACAUUGAUGCUCGAAAGUGUGGGUAUCAAACAGGAUUAGAGACCCGUGUAGGC
rnacentral:rRNA from 1 species